rnacentral:rRNA from 1 species
GAGUUUGAUCGUGGCUCAGAUUGAACGCUGGCGGCAUGCCUUACACAUGCAAGUCGAACGGCAGCACGGGAGCUUGCUCCUGGUGGCGAGUGGCGAACGGGUGAGUAAUGCAUCGGAACGUAUCCUGGAGUGGGGGAUAACGUAGCGAAAGUUACGCUAAUACCGCAUAUUCUGUGAGCAGGAAAGCGGGGGACCUUCGGGCCUCGCGCUCUUGGAGCGGCCGAUGUCGGAUUAGCUAGUUGGUGAGGUAAAGGCUCACCAAGGCGACGAUCCGUAGCAGGUCUGAGAGGAUGAUCUGCCACACUGGAACUGAGACACGGUCCAGAUUCCUACGGGAGGCAGCAGUGGGGAAUUUUGGACAAUGGGGGCAACCCUGAUCCAGCCAUGCCGCGUGAGUGAAGAAGGCCUCGG